rnacentral:rRNA from 1 species
GCAGUCGCCGCGGUAAUACGGAGGGUGCAAGCGUUAAUCGGAAUUACUGGGCGUAAAGCGCACGCAGGCGGUCUGACAAGUCAGAUGUGAAAUCCCCGGGCUUAACCUGGGAACUGCAUUUGAAACUGUCAGGCUGGAGUCUUGUAGAGGGGGGUGGAAUUCCAGGUGUAGCGGUGAAAUGCGUAGAGAUCUGGAGGAAUACCGGUGGCGAAGGCGGCCCCCUGGACAAAGACUGACGCUCAGGUGCGAAAGCGUGGGGAGCAAACAGGAUUAGAUACCCGGGUAGUCCCUGUCUCUUAUAC